rnacentral:lncRNA from 1 species
GACGAUUAUGUGCACCGAAUUGGCAGGACAGGUCGUGCUGGCAAGUCAGGAUUAGCAACUGCUUUCUUUAAUGAAGGUAAUCUUUCAAUGGCUAAACCCCUAGCUGACCUGAUGCAAGAAGCUAAUCAGGAGGUACCUGAAUGGCUGACUCGUUAUGCUAUCCGUUCAUACGGAGGAGGUAGAAACAAGCGGUCUGGUGGAGGGCCUGAAUGGCUGACUCGUUAUGCUAGCCGUUCAUACGGAGGAGGUAGAAACAAGCGGUCUGGUGGAGGCCGUUUUGGUGGGCGUGACUUCAGGAGGGAUUCCUCUUACAUAAGAAGUGGUGGAGGUGGUGCGAGUUAC